CCCGCUGAACUUAAGCAUAUCAAUAAGCGGAGGAAAAGAAACUAACAAGGAUUCCCUUAGUAACUGCGAGUGAAGUGGGAAAAGCUCAAAUUUAGAAUCUGGCAGUCACUUGGCUGUCCGAGUUGUAAUCUAGAGAAGUGUUGCCCGUGCUGGACCAUGUACAAGUCUCCUGGAAUGGAGCAUCACAGAGGGUGAGAAUCCUGUCUUUGACAUGGACUGCCAGUGCUUUUGUGGUAUGCUCUCAAAGAGUCGAGUUGUUUGGGAAUGCAGCUCANAAUGGGUGGUAAAUGCCAUCUAAAGCUAAAUAUUGGCGAGAGACCGAUAGUGAACAAGUACCGUGAGGGAAAGAUGAAAAGAACUUUGGAAAGAGAGUUAAACAGUACGUGAAAUUGCUGAAAGGGAAACGCUUNGAGUCAGUCACGUUGACUUGGAAUCAGCUCUGCUUUUUGCUGGUGUACUUUCUGUCAUGGGUCAGCAUCAAUUUUGACCAUUGGAUAAAGUUGCUGGGAAUGUAGCAUCCUUUUGGGAUGUGUUAUAGCCUGGUGAUGCAUACAGUGGUUGGGAUUGAGGAAUUCAGCACGCCACCAGGCCGGGUUUUGACCACGUUCGUGCUUAGGAUGCUGGCAUAAUGGCUUUAAUUGACCCGUCUUGAAACACGG
rnacentral:rRNA from 1 species